rnacentral:tRNA from 1 species
AGGGGUAUCGCCAAGCGGUAAGGCAGCAGGUUUUGAUCCUUCCACUCGGAGGUUCGAAUCCUUCUACCCCUGCCA